rnacentral:rRNA from 1 species
GACGAACGCUGGCGGCGUGCUUAACACAUGCAAGUCGAGCGGAAAGGCCUCCUCGGAGGUACUCGAGCGGCGAACGGGUGAGUAACACGUGAGUAAUCUGCCCUCCACUUCGGGAUAACCACCGGAAACGGUGGCUAAUACCGGAUACGACUGCUGCCCGCAUGGGUGGUGGUGGAAAGUUUUUUCGGUGGGGGAUGUGCUCGCGGCCUAUCAGCUUGUUGGUGGGGUAAUGGCCUACCAAGGCUUCGACGGGUAGCCGGCCUGAGAGGGUGACCGGCCACACUGGGACGGAGACACGGCCCAGAGUCCUACGGGAGGCAGCAGUGGGGAAUAUUGGACAAUGGGCGGAAGCCUGAUCCAGCAACGCCGCGUGAGGGAUGACGGCCUUCGGGUUGUAAACCUCUUUCAGUACCGACGAAGCGCCGAUGAUGGUGGUGACGGUAGGUACAGAAGAAGCACCGGCCAACUACGUGCCAGCAGCCGCUGUAAGAC